CUACGUGCCAGCAGCCGCGGUAAUACGGAAGGUCCAGGCGUUAUCCGGAUUUAUUGGGUUUAAAGGGAGCGUAGGCUGGAGAUUAAGUGUGUUGUGAAAUGUAGACGCUCAACGUCUGAAUUGCAGCGCAUACUGGUUUCCUUGAGUACGCACAACGUUGGCGGAAUUCGUCGUGUAGCGGUGAAAUGCUUAGAUAUGACGAAGAACUCCGAUUGCGAAGGCAGCUGACGGGAGCGCAACUGACGCUUAAGCUCGAAGGUGUGGGUAUCAAACAGGAUUAGAUACCCUGGUAGUCCGCACAGUAAACGAUGGAUGCCCGCUGUUGGUACCUGGUAUCAGCGGCUAAGCGAAAGCAUUAAGCAUCCCACCUGGGGAGUACGCCGGCAACGGUGAAACUCAAAGGAAUUGACGGGGGCCCGCACAAGCGGAGGAACAUGUGGUUUAAUUCGAUGAUACGCGAGGAACCUUACCCGGGCUUGAA
rnacentral:rRNA from 1 species